rnacentral:misc_RNA from 1 species
AACGCACGAGACCUGCGGACCUGCGGAGGGAUCAUUACAUGGCGGAGGAGGUGGGCACCUAGUAAAACAAAACCCUAGGUGUGUUGCCUACCACGCUUUCUACCCUUGUCUAUUUGCACCUUUUGUCGUUCCCUCGGUGGGUCUUGAACCUGCCGGCGGCAACUUUCAAAAACCUUUUGUAGUUAGUAUCUAAUUCUUCUGAUCAAAUAUUCAAUCGCUACAACUUUUAACAAUGGAUCU